CCUCGUAACUUUAAUUGAAAUCAGAUUAAAAAGGAAAAAACCCCUGCUAGGGGGUUGAAGGUACUGGGGGCGGCACCGCUACCCCUUACUUCACCGGCGAGGGCUCACAACCCCUCGCUCACGACCCUAGGAUUCCCCAUCGACACCUCAUGGCAUUAUGCAGUAUUGGUAAAGGCGACACGCAGGUUUAAGUUGUGGACUGGCAACUUUGUUGAAGUUGUAGCCUUGCCUCCAGCCCUUCAUCGCGGCAUCGUAGUCGCGGCCCUCUCGGUCACCUUGAUCUCUGCUCUUCCUCUGGCCCUCCCUCGCAAUUGCAGCCUCGCCAAGUGCCUCCGGCCCUCCCUUGCAGUCGCGGCCUCACCUUUGGCCAACACUUUCGUGAUAAGGGAACUGUGGAUCUCAUUUUUGUUGAAUGCUGGUUCCCUGGCUCACUCGGGAACCGGACCGGUCGGUCAGAUUUGAAGACUAGGUGGGCCAAUUCCCGAUUCUACAAAUUAAAAUCCCACCUUUUUGGUUCGAUUUCCGGUUCCAGAGCGAGAGCACUCCUAAAAAUUAAUCCAACCGAGACAUUGGUUUCCGUAGUCUGUGCUGGAUCAGCAUCUGUAAGUGCGACGGACUUUCAGGGUAAUUGCUUUCUCAAUGGUGUCACCCAUUCUUCCGUUACCAAAAAGUCCACUCCCAAGUCCACGGAAAAUGAUUUCU